AAACUUUCAACAAUGGAUCUCUUGGUUCUCGCAUCGAUGAAGAACGCAGCGAAAUGCGAUACGUAAUGUGAAUUGCAGAAUUCCGUGAAUCAUCGAAUCUUUGAACGCACAUUGCGCCCCUUGGUUCUCCAGGGGGCAUGCCUGUUUGAGCGUCAUUU
rnacentral:rRNA from 1 species